AGAGAAAGCACUAGUGAGGAGACAAAAGGCAAGUAGAGCUUUGCAGAGGGCCCAGGAAAGACCUUAGCCACUUGGAUAUCAACCACUACCCACCUGGAUACUCUCUGUGAUGAAAAGCAGAUCAAAGGGGAUUGGAAACUAUGGAACUACCCACAGCUUGCAACAGAAAAGGUCAACUGUAGCAUUCUCACCAUCUCUGAGGUUUUUAUACGGAGACAUAAGCAUCAGCAGACAGCUCAUGGACCCUUUGGAGCCACCAGAAAUGAAGCUGAUAAAUGUAAACA